AUUGAACGCUGGCGGCAGGCCUAACACAUGCAAGUCGAGCGAGCGGCGGACGGGUGAGUAAUGUCUGGGAAACUGCCUGAUGGAGGGGGAUAACUACUGGAAACGGUAGCUAAUACCGCGUACCAUAGGAUGAGCCCAAGUGGGAUUAGGUAGUUGGUGGGGUAAUGGCCUACCAAGCCGACGAUCAGUAGCCGGUCUGAGAGGAUGACCAGACACACGGGGACUGAGACACGGCCCAGACUCCUACGGGAGGCAGCAGUGGGGAAUAGUGCGAAAGGGGGGCAACCCUGACGCAGCCAUGCCGCGUGAAUGAAGAAGGCCUUCGGGUUGUAAAGUUCUUUCGGUAGCGAGGCGUUAACUACAGAAGAAGCACCGGCUAACUCCGUGCCAGCAGCCGCGGUAAUAC
rnacentral:rRNA from 1 species